rnacentral:rRNA from 1 species
GUGCCAGCAGCCGCGGUAAUACGUAGGUGGCAAGCGUUAUCCGGAAUUAUUGGGCGUAAAGCGCGCGUAGGCGGUUUUUUAAGUCUGAUGUGAAAGCCCACGGCUCAACCGUGGAGGGUCAUUGGAAACUGGAAAACUUGAGUGCAGAAGAGGAAAGUGGAAUUCCAUGUGUAGCGGUGAAAUGCGCAGAGAUAUGGAGGAACACCAGUGGCGAAGGCGACUUUCUGGUCUGUAACUGACGCUGAUGCGCGAAAGCGUGGGGAUCAAACAGGAUUAG